rnacentral:rRNA from 1 species
UACGAGGGGGGCAAGCGUUGUUCGGAAUUACUGGGCGUAAAGGGUGCGUAGGCGGUUCCGCAAGUCCUGUGUGAAAUCUUCGGGCUCAACUCGAAGUCUGCACGGGAAACUGCGGGGCUUGAGUGUGGGAGAGGUGAGUGGAAUUCCGGUGUAGCGGUGAAAUGCGUAGAUAUCAGGAGGAACACCGAUGGCGAAGGCAGGUCUCUGGGCUGACACUGACGCUCAUGCACGAAAGCGUGGGAGCAAACAGG